rnacentral:rRNA from 1 species
CUGGGCGUAAAGCGAGCGCAGACGGUUACUUAAGCAGGAUGUGAAAUCCCCGGGCUCAACCUGGGAACUGCGUUCUGAACUGGGUGACUAGAGUGUGUCAGAGGGAGGUAGAAUUCCACGUGUAGCGGUGAAAUGCGUAGAGAUGUGGAGGAAUACCGAAGGCGAAGGCAGCCCCUUGGGAAUGUACUGACGCUCAUGUGCGAAAGCGUGGGGAGCAAACAGGAUUAGAUACCCUGGUAGUCCACGCUGUAAACGAUGUCGAUUUGGGGGUUGAACUUUAGGUUUGGCGCCCGUAGCUAACGCGUGAAAUUGACCGCCUGGGGAGUACGGUCGCAAGAUUAAAACUCAAAGGAAUUGACGGGGACCCGCACAAGCGGUGGAUGAUGUGGAUUAAUUCGAUGCAACGCGAAGAACCUUACCUGGUCUUGACAUGUACGGAAUCCUCCAGAGACGGAGGAGUGCCUUCGGGAACCGUAACACAGGUGCUGCAUGGCUGUCGUCAGCUCGUGUCGUGAG